UAUGGUAACUAAUCAUUUAAAUAGUAACUUACAUACAUGUAGUUACUUAUCCUAUGGUAACUAAUCAUUUUAAAUAGUAACUUAUACACAUGUGGUUACUUAUCCUAUGGUAACUUUUAGCAACAUUUACUACGUACACACGGCCUUCGAAUCAGCCGCCAUGAGUCAAACGCACAAAUACAAAGUCCUGCUGGACCCUUCAUUUCUAAGCCAUAUUAUCACAGAGAAGAACACGUGUGAGUAGGACUACUCUUAUCCUAGAUCAACUCAUUCUAUCUGUAAAGGAGUAGAGUUUCAGCCAAGUGUUCUGGAACCGACCUGAUAAGUGAAGAUUUUAAUAUAUAGGUUCCUUCAUUAUUAUGGUUGAAAAAUUCUGGGAACUUUUCAAAAUUCUCAGUUUAUCCAGUAAUGUUCCUGUAAUCAAUAGGGGGGAAAGCAGGGCAUCCUGAAUCCCCAACAAUGACCUGUUGGAAAACUUGGCAUUUUUGGGAAGUUAGGGGAAUUUUGGAUCCUUGUAAUCGAUUACUUGGCAGGAUAUCCCCCUCAUAUAGACUAACCAACUACCACCCAGAACGGCACCCUAUAGAACCUAUAGGUAGAAACUACCACCCAGAACGGCACCCUAUAGAACCUAUAGGUAGAAACUACCACCCAGAACGGCACCCUAUAGAACCUAUAGGUAGAAACUACCACCCAGAACGGCACCCUAUAGAACCUAUAGGUAGAAACUGCCACCCAGAAUGGCACCCUAUAGAACCUAUAAGUAGAAACUGCCACCCAGAACGGCACCCUAUAGAACCUAUAGGUAGAAACUGCCACCCAGAACGGCACCCUAUAGAACCUAUAGGUAGAAACUGCCACCCAGAACGGCACCCUAUAGAACCUAUAGGUAGAAACUGCCACCCAGAACGGCACCCUAUAGAACCUAUAGGUAGAAACUGCCACCCAGAACGGCACCCUAUAGAACCUAUAGGUAGAAACUGCCACCCAGAAUGGCACCCUAUAGAACCUAUAAGUAGAAACUGCCACCCAGAACGGCACCCUAUAGAACCUAUAGGUAGAAACUGCCACCCAGAACGGCACCCUAUAGAACCUAUAGGUAGAAACAACAUACUACAACAUACUGAAUACACAAGUAGCGAACAACGUUUUGAAUAUGUUAACAAUUAACUUAAAGGGGAAGUUCACUAUUUUACAACUUUGUCAGAUGGCUUCUCAUCCUGAAAGUAGUCUAUGGGCCAGAAGAAACCUAUCAAUGCUUCAGGGCUUUUUAAACAGCCACUACAAACGUCAGCCAACUUUAGCCACCGCUAGCUCCUAAAAUACUGAACGUCCCCUUUAAAGGAGUUGCUGAGAGAAAAGAGAACUGAAUGUAGGAGUGUUUCCUGCCGUAUGCCAUGUUUGGGAGUGGAAACCAAAGACUGAAAGAACUGGGGAUGGGUGAAUUUGAUGUGAUGAAAAUGAGGAAAAGCUAGAGAAGAGGAUUGAUCUGUAUUGAAAGAGAAACUUCUUCCUGUAUUACUUUGUGAAUUGUAAAUAAAUAGUGGCUAACGGGCAGCGCCACGCAGAAGCAGGGUCUUCUCUUGGGACUGCUGCCCCCACGUGCUGGAGACAAAUUAUCCAUUA